rnacentral:lncRNA from 1 species
GAAAAGUUAAUAUUUGUUAACUUUGCUAAUCCACGUACACAUGGAUAACACACGUAAGUAUUGCAAGGUCAUUUUAUUGAAAUGUUUGAAAUACUUGUGCUCUUGAAUUCUUUAGCUAUUGCAGACUGUGAUUUUAGACUAAAUCGUAUUUCACUAUUGUAUGCUAUUGGUAUUACAUUAUGAUAUAAAACUACAGAAAGUAGCAGUUUCUCAAAUAAAUGAACCAGGAUGUGUAAAACUUUGAUGUGGCAUUGAACAAUGAUUCUAUGGGGCAUCUUUAGGUUAGUUUCGAUGUAUGAUUUUAGAAUUAGGAAGCAGCAUUUUCUAAUGAAGAUAAUGAUCUCUGAACGUUAUAUUGUGGCAUGUUGGCAUCCCCCUCCCCCACCCCCCUUGCACAAGAUUUCCUAGUUUCAACUUGGAAGUCUUUGUUCCUAGCACUGAAUUUGAAUUAAAUAUAUGAUUGUAGGAAGAUGAGGAUGACAUGGAAGUCGAUACUGCACCAUCUGCUUUUCAGACUUCAACAAAUCACUUGUUGCCAGAGCUCGAGAUUUACUGCUAAUUUGCUUGUCCUCCUUUCUCUUAUUGACCGUAAAAAAUACAAUGAGGUCAGACUCGUUUUUCUGAAUUUGGAUUCUCAUUUUCCUUUAUGGUCCCAAUCCACUUUGUUAAAACUGCAGAGAUUCUUUUGCUUCGUUUUCUUUCAGGCUAAAGCUUGUUCCUCCGCAAGUAUUAACCUGCUCAAGAGCCUAAACAGAAGAACUCUCCUAGCAUCAAGACUUUUCUUCCAUUACUCGUAUAGCUAUGAACUCACUGGUGAUCUUGCCAAAAUUCUUGGGUAAGAAAUGAAUAGCUGACUGUCUCCUCUAUGGUUCCUGCUCUGUUUGUGUGCUUACAUGUGUAAAUAUAUGUCAGCAUGGAACUUCAAAAGAGAAGAGGAAGUUGGAUAAGUGUCUAACCAUUUCUCUAAUUCUUUUUUAGCACUUUUACUUGCAGCAGUCUCCUUGCCUUGCAUCGUAUUGCUUCACUCCACCAUGACGUGCUUGGUCAGGUUUGUUAUCAAUCAAU